rnacentral:rRNA from 1 species
CACGUAUUUAGCCGGAGCUUCUUAGUCAGGUACCGUCACUUUCUUCCCUGCUGAUAGGGCUUUACAUACCGAAAUACUUCUUCACCCACGCGGCGUUGCUGCAUCAGGGUUCCCCCCAUUGUGCAAUAUUCCCCACUGCUGCCUCCCGUAGGAGUCUGGGCCGUGUCUCAGUCCCAAUGUGGCCGUCCACUCUCUCAAGCCGGCUACUGAUCGCUGCCUUGGUGGGCCGUUACCCCGCCAACUAGCUAAUCAGACGCGGGCCCAUCCUGUACCACCGGAGUUUUCCCCGCAGCGCCAUGCGGCACCGCGGGCUUAUGCGGUAUUAGCAGCCGUUUCCAGCUGUUGUCCCCCUGUACAGGGCAGGUUACCCACGCGUUACUCACCCGUCCGCCACUAGGCUGUAUGCUGCUUCCGCCCGAAAGCUUCCGCUGCAUACGCCCCGUUCGACUUGCAUGUGUUAGGCACGCCGCCAGCGUUCAUCCUGAGCCAGGAUCAAACUCU